AAUCUAUGGUCUGGGCAUUUUUGAAUCAAGAUUUUGAACUGUUCCCAUGCAUUGUAGAAACUUUCUCCCUCUAUCUGUCUAAAAAUAACACUCUUUCUUCUUAGUUG
rnacentral:snoRNA from 1 species